rnacentral:rRNA from 1 species
AUGAACGCUAGCGACAGGCUUAACACAUGCAAGUCGAGGGGUAACAGGGUAGCAAUACCGCUGACGACCGGCGCACGGGUGAGUAACGCGUAUGCAACCUGCCUAUAACUGGGGAAUAGCUCCCUGAAAGGGGAAUUAACACCGCAUAACACCAUUGAUUCGCAUGGAUUGGUAGUUAAAUGUAGCGAUACAGGUUAUAGAUGGGCAUGCGUGACAUUAGCUAGUUGGUGAGGUAACGGCUCACCAAGGCUACGAUGUCUAGGGGUUCUGAGAGGAAGGUCCCCCCACACUGGUACUGAGACACGGACCAGACUCCUACGGGAGGCAGCAGUGAGGAAUAUUGGUCAAUGGGCGCAAGCCUGAACCAGCCAUGUCGCGUGCAGGAAGAACCUGCCCUAUGGGUUGUAAACUGCUUUUAUAGUAGAAGAAACACAUCUACGCGUAGAUGUCUGCCAGUAUACUAUGAAUAAGCAUCGGCUAACUCCGUGCCAGCCGCCGC